rnacentral:lncRNA from 1 species
UACAUAAACUGAAAAUAUAUUAUAUCCACCAAAAGCUCUGGGGAGCCAACUUCUCCCAUGCCCCAUAUCUCUAGAGACAAUCUCCUAGAUUUGUUACACAUCUCAACUCAAAUUAAAAUAACAAAGUAAGCAAAGAAAAAAAUCAUCAAGAUUUGGGUUAUAAAGGAAGGAAAAUAGGUUGAGAGGAAUUGGAAUCAUGGAAAGGAAGAGAUUGUAAAAUAGGAAGUCGGAUUCUUCCUGGAAAAGGCGCCUGAGAGAAGAGAUGUUCCACAACUGCGGCGAGCACCACCGUGUAUUCCUUCACCAUUUC